rnacentral:lncRNA from 1 species
GCCGCAUCUGUGGCAUAUGGAAGUUCCCAGGCUAAGGUUCAAAUAUGAACUGCAGCUGAGACCUCUGCCACAGCCACAGCAACACCAUAUCCAAGUCGCAUGUGUGACCUAUGCCACAGCUUGCGACAACACCAGAUCCUUAACCCACUGAUCGAGGCCAGGGAUUGAACCCUCAUCCUCACGGACACUAUAUUGGGAUCUUAAUCCAUUGAGUCACAAUAGGAACUCUGACCCCAUGGGAUUUUCUUGUUGUUGUUGUUUUUCAAAGACAAUUGCUUCUUCCUGGAUUGGUAUUGUGUGAGAGGGGUUCAGGGCUAAAAUGAAUAGAUCUCUAACCAAAGAUCUUAAUAGGGAUAAAAAUUACUUUUGACAAAUCCCACUCUAAAUCAUUGUAGUGGGCAACUCUGAGCACCAAAAACGAACAAGAGUUACAAUGUCUGAGGGCUUUGUCUCCUUUGUCAACAAGAAUAUGUGGUUUAGAGGUACAAGCCACCAACCAGUGACCCCCUGGAAGGCCACCACCAAGAGAGCUGCUUCCUGACUCCAGUUCUGGGUGACCCUGUCUGUGGCUUGCUGAGGAGUCUACUGAUGUUCUACCCUAACUCCCACCCUUGCUGCUGUUACUCCCCUGAGUAACAGAACCCUGAGUUUAUUUCAGGCAACAGUGUACCCAACUAAACAGGUCCCAGCCUUCCUUGCAGCUAAGUGUGGCCAUGUGGUUAGAGUCUGCCCAAUGAGGUAUAAGCUGAGAAGUUGUCAGUGGAUUCCAGAAAGUCUCAUUAAAAGGGAGGGGACCCUUUUACCUCUUUUCACUGCUCCUUCCUGUUGCCUGGAAUGAGGUGAUGGUUGCUGAGCUCAAGCAGCCAUCUUGGACUUAGAUGAUGCGAGGAGGAAAGCUUCCUGGUGGCAGAGUUCCCACUGGGGCUCAGCAGGUUCAAAACCCAAUGUAGUCUCUGUAAGGAUGCGGCUUCGAUGCCUGGCCUCACUCAGUGGGUUAAGGAUCUAGUGUUGCCACAAGCUGUAGCAUAGCUUGCAGAUGUGGCUUGAAUCUGAUAUUGCUGUGGCUGUAGCGCAGGCUGGCAGCUGCAGCUCUGAUUUGACCCCUAGCCCAGGAAUUUCCAUAUGCUGCAGGUGCAGCUGUAAAAAGAAAAAAAAAAAACAACCCAAAAAAACAAAAAACUUCUUGCUACUCUUUAAGGGUCUUUGUCAUCGUCAGCAGAUGCAGUUUCUAACUGAUAUGUGGAAGCUCACUGGGCCUCAUUUUGUGGAAGGGCAAAGGUGUCCACAGUUCCUCUAAGCCAACUGCUACUUCUGCUCUCUCUGGAAGAAUCAUCCUGCCCAAGAGGGCCCAAUUCUUUCACAACUUUC